AUGAGGCAAGAAGGGCUCCAGAUCUGCUUCAUGGAUUAUAGAACGAAGGAACCCUACCAGGUUACCAGUGAAACAAUGAUGAAAUGUCAUUGAACUCUGAAUUGCAAUAUGGGGGUGAACACACCCUUCGAACCUGCCUACUUCAGUCGGCAGACCACAAGAGAUCAACUGGGAGAAGUGCCAGGAAGAUGUUUGACAAAGGAGAAGAAAGGUCCAAGUGCAAUAUACUUAUGGCUAACGAUGGCUGAAGAAUCUUGAUAUUCCCACACUAAGAUGAAGUAUAAAGAGAUGAGUCUUCUGUGGAUCUCCAGGAGCGACACAGAGGAUGGAGAGUCAAUCCCAGAAAAUGCAGUGGGCUUUGAGAGCUGCAAAUAAGGCACCAGCUUCUGAAGUCAGGCCCAACAAACAAGAACCUGGUGGUGGAAAUAAUCAGGUUCCCCUAUUCUAAUCAGCAAACCUCCCAACCACAACUUACCGUCCAAGUCCACACCUUCCUGUCAGCCUGGACCUCAGACUGUGGCUACAUUUACAAAGUCGACUUCAUCAGCCUGAGAUGGGUCACAAAGAGGAGGGCUGCUGACCUCCCGGCAAUUCACAAACCCUGCCAUGAAUGGGCAGCUUGUAUAUAAAGAAGAAACUAGGGCUUCCCUGGUGGCGCAGUGGUUGAGAAUCUGCCUGCCGAUGCAGGGGACACGGGUUCGUGCCCCGGUCCGGGAAGAUCCC